UUUUUAGUAUACAUAUGUCCUAUGUAAUAUUUGGAACAUAUGUAUACUAAAA
rfam:Loxodonta africana unplaced genomic scaffold scaffold_75, whole genome shotgun sequence.